GAUGAACGCUGGCGGCGUGCCUAAUACAUGCAAGUCGAGCGAACGGACGAGAAGCUUGCUUUUCUGAUGUUAGCGGCGGACGGGUGAGUAACACGUGGAUAACCUACCUAUAAGACUGGGAUAACUUCGGGAAACCGGAGCUAAUACCGGAUAAUAUUUUGAACCGCAUGGUUCAAAAGUGAAAGACGGUCUUGCUGUCACUUAUAGAUGGAUCCGCGCUGCAUUAGCUAGUUGGUAAGGUAACGGCUUACCAAGGCAACGAUGCAUAGCCGACCUGAAAGGGUGAUCGGCCACCCUGGAACUGGGACACGGUCCAGACUCCUACGGGAGGCAGCAGAAGGGAAUCUUCCGCAAUGGGCGAAAGCCUGACGGAGCAACGCCGCGUGAGUGAUGAAGGUCUUCGGAUCGUAAAACUCUGUUAUUAGGGAAGAACAUAUGUGUAAGUAACUGUGCACAUCUUGACGGUACCUAAUCAGAAAGCCACGGCUAACUACGUG
rnacentral:rRNA from 1 species